GUAAGAAGCACAAAGUUUUAACAGAUUAAACAGAUGAAGAUGAAGAGCAGGACUCCGACGACGAACGUUUGUAUUUUGAAGAGCGACUUGAUCCGCGAGCGAGGAUAUAAUUUCUGAAGAGAAUGUGGCUGCAUCACUCUUGUCUUCACCUGCACCGGCUGCAACACUUUCACCUUCGUUUGAUGCUCGCACGGGGGCGCGCAGCAACGAGAACAAUAAGGAGAAUGUGGCUGCAACACGUUCACCUGCGUCUGAUACGCACACGAGGGCA